rnacentral:ncRNA from 2 species
GGGCGAGAGUAGUACUAGGAUGG